rnacentral:rRNA from 1 species
AGAUUGAACGCUGGCGGCAUGCCUUACACAUGCAAGUCGAACGGUAACGCGGGGCAACCUGGCGACGAGUGGCGAACGGGUGAGUAAUGCAUCGGAACGUGCCCAGUAGUGGGGGAUAGCCCGGCGAAAGCCGGAUUAAUACCGCAUACGACCUAAGGGUGAAAGCGGGGGACCGUAAGGCCUCGCGCUAUUGGAGCGGCCGAUGUCAGAUUAGGUAGUUGGUGGGGUAAAAAGCCUACCAAGCCUACGAUCUGUAGCUGGUCUGAGAGGACGACCAGCCACACUGGGACUGAGACACGGCCCAGACUCCUACGGGAGGCAGCAGUGGGGAAUUUGGACAAUGGGCGCAAGCCUGAUCCAGCCAUGCCGCGUGCGGAAGAAGGCCUUGGUUGUAAACGCUUUGUCAGGAAGAAGUCUUGGCCAAUACCCGAGGAGUGACGGUACCUGGAGAAUAAGCACGGCUAACUACGUCGCCAGCAGCCGC